rnacentral:sRNA from 1 species
UUCAUGAAAAGCGUAGGUGGCGCAGUAUUCUAGUUAGCACGGCCGCUGCCGAAGACGGGCCUAAAAAUCCGUAAAGGGCAUAUCGAUGAAGUUCUUGGUGCUGGCUGCCGACGCCCAGUCGGGGGUUGGUGCUGAGAGUUAAGGAGUUGGGGCGAUCUGCAAAGGCAUGCAGGCGUUGACCCUGGCUCCGUGGAGACCCAAGUGCGUGGUGGAUUACCGUAGUUGGUAAAGGAUUACGGCUUGGGAAGAACCUGUAUGCGGUUCGCGCUGUGUACAGUGUAGCCUGCCUUGAGUGAUAGCGGGUGAGUGUAUGCCUGUCAUGCACAAAACCGGUAUUGCAAAAGAGGAUAGGAGCGGAAACCGUGUUAUUGAGGAAAACUCCUAGACUGUUCCUUUCAGGGAGACCUACCAGGGAUUAAAGUACGGACUCAGUGGCAAUCCAGUCUCAUUGUUGGCGACACAAUGAAAUUAAUCUUAAAAGGAAACUGCCCAGAUGGCGACAUCCGGGUGAUUAAUUGGGAAAACCUGCUGGACCUCAAGCCGUAACGUUUACCUGGUGGGUUGCUCACCUACGUUACUUAAUUU